CAGCCAUGACAUGUUGAAACACCAGUUCUUGUACAAUCACCAAAGUUAAGCAACGUAGAGCCUAGUCAGUAUCUAGAUGGGUGACCACUUGGGAAUACCAGGUGAUGUAAG